rnacentral:rRNA from 1 species
AUUGAACGCUGGCGGCAGGCCUAACACAUGCAAGUCGAGCGGAUGAAGGGAGCUUGCUCCUGGAUUCAGCGGCGGACGGGUGAGUAAUGCCUAGGAAUCUGCCUGGUAGUGGAGGAUAACGUCCGGAAACGGGCGCUAAUACCGCAUACGUCCUGAGGGAGAAAGUGGGGGAUCUUCGGACCUCACGCUAACAGAUGAGCCUAGGUCGGAUUAGCGAGGUGGUGGGGUAGAGGCCUACCAAGGCGACGAUCCGUAACUGGUCUGAGAGGAUGAUCAGUCACACUGGAACUGAGACACGGUCCAGACUCCUACGGGAGGCAGCAGUGGGGAAUAUUGGACAAGGGGCGAAAGCCUGAUCCAGCCAUGCCGCGUGUGUGAAGAAGGUCUUCGGAUUGUAAAGCACUUUAAGUUGGGAGGAAGGGCAGUAAGUUAAUACCUUGCUGUUUUGACGUUACCAACAGAAUAAGCACCGGCUAACUUCGUG